CGCUGCUGGCUCUCCUGCUGUGCGGCUCCACAGCUCCGGGACACGCCGAGAGGGUUUGUCACUGCAGCGGAAAGUCCCUCUGCCACUGUGACGGCAUCAAAGGCCAAAAGCCGACAGUCCUGAGGUCAGCUGCAGUCUGACGGUCUCAGGUGAUUCAGGUGUCGGACCACCCAGGGGAGAACUCUGUGAUCUCAGGGGGAACCUGGUUACCUCGGAUACGCGGGACUUCCUGGUGUGAUUGGUUACCCUGGAAACGAGGGCAAUUCGGGUCCACAUGGAGAAAAGGGUGAUCAGGGAGCAGCUGGAG